rnacentral:rRNA from 1 species
GUGCCAGCAGCCGCGGUAAUACGAAGGGUGCAAGCGUUAGUCGGAAUUACUGGGCGUAAAGCGUGCGUAGGUGGUUUCUUAAGUCCGUUGUGAAAGCCCUGGGCUCAACCUGGGAACUGCAGUGGAUACUGAGAGGCUAGAGUGUGUCAGAGGAUGGUGGAAUUCCCGGUGUAGCGGUGAAAUGCGUAGAGAUCGGGAGGAACAUCAGUGGCGAAGGCGGCCAUCUGGGACAACACUGACGCUGAGGCACGAAAGCGUGGGGAGCAAACAGGAUUAGAAACCCGGGUAGUCC